rnacentral:rRNA from 1 species
UACGGAGGGAGCUAGCGUUGUUCGGAAUUACUGGGCGUAAAGCGCGCGUAGGCGGCUUUGUAAGUUAGAGGUGAAAGCCUGGAGCUCAACUUCAGAAUUGCCUUUAAGACUGCAUCGCUUGAAUCCGGGAGAGGUGAGUGGAAUUCCGAGUGUAGAGGUGAAAUUCGUAGAUAUUCGGAAGAACACCAGUGGCGAAGGCGGCUCUCUGGGACGGUAUUGACGCUGAGGCGCGAAAGCGUGGGGAGCAAACAGG